GAUGAACGCUGGCGGCGUGCCUAAUACAUGCAAGUCGAGCGAACGGACGAGAAGCUUGCUUCUCUGAUGUUAGCGGCGGACGGGUGAGUAACACAUGGAUCACCUACCUAUAAUACUGGGAUAACUUCGGGAAACCGGAGCUAAUACCGUAUAAUAUUUUGAACCGCAUGGUUCAAAAGUGAAAGACGGUCUUGCUGUCACUUAUAGAUGCAUCCGCGCUGCAUUAGCUAGUUGGUAAGUUAACGGCUUACCAAGGCAACGAUGCAUAGCCGACCUGAGAGGGUGAUCGGCCACACUGGAACUGAGACACGGUCCAGACUCCUACGGGAGGCAGCAGUAGGGAAUCUUACGCAAUGGGCGAAAGCCUGACGGAGCAACGCCGAGUGAGUGAUGAAGGUCUUCGGAGCGUAAAACUCUGUUAUUAGGGAAGAACAUAUGUGGAAGUAAAUGUGCACAGAGUGACGGUACCUAAUCAGAAAGCAACGGCUAACUACGUG
rnacentral:rRNA from 1 species